rnacentral:lncRNA from 1 species
UCGCACAAAUGCACACAGACAGUGGCACAUUCACAUUACUCGAUUCAAGAAGCUUGCAUACCAGGGUGAAACAGGGAUUAAUUAAGCAAACAAAAUACGUACAUUACACACAUCGAUCAGGUAUAAACAUAUAGUAUAUUAUACUACCUAGCUAGACAAGACUGACACAUAAUUAAAGACAUAUGCAUCAGCAAACGCAAGCUAGUACAUAUGUAUAUGAACACAAAUGCACACAUCGAUCAAAGUGACAAACAUUAACACAAACACACACACACACACACUCUCUCUCUCUAGUUAACACCACAAGAAGAUGAAGCAAAUCGAUCAGAAAGAGUAGCAGGACAUGAACACGAACACAAAGACGACGCGAGGAUCGAUGGAGACCGCACGCGAACACGCGGCCGACGAGAGAUGAUGGAGAU